GGUCGCACUGCCCCGUGUCCAUCUGCUCCCGCCGGGCCGCGGCGUCGGGCAGGAAACCCCCGAAGACGAAGCAGAUCAGCGUCAGGUCUUUUCAUUCCAAGCCUACUUUGUUUGAGAGGUGAUAAAGAGAGGAAAGCACUGCAGUGUGCUCUCUGAAGAGGCCACUUAAGAGGCAGUAAGGAAUCAUGGGGUAAUGAAGGUAUGACAAGAAUGAAAGCUUCAUACAAUCAAGCAGGCAAGAUUCCUACUGUUCAUGGGACAGUGACCCGAAGCUCAGUGUCAGUGUUGAGAUAAGAACUACAAGCCUUACCAGAUCCUCUCCUGAAGGAGCCACGGAAGAUGGCAGCUCUGGACUGCGUGGCUCAGUGGGUACGGGAACCUACCAGACCUCUAAAUGGGCACAGUUGUGGAUCAUGUCUUUUACUAAGCUUGCUCUGAUAUUUUUGGUAAAUUCUUGCGAUGUCCUCUCCAAUUCUCAUUUGGCUAUGCAUGUGAAAGUCUUCACACGUGUCUGCAGUCAAAUGCUAGCCAUGUUUUCAAUCAACACGACUCAUUUUUUAAAUUAUGGCUGUGAGAGUUUUCAGGUUGUGCUGACGAGCCCGGUACUAUUAAAAAAAAAGCCUCAGACCAGUGUGUUUUGGGGAGGAGAGAGAAACUGACAUCUAUUCUGGGAAGGAAGAAGCAAGAAUACCAAGAUCUGGCAGCCUGGUCUGUGUUUGCUCCAAUGAUGCAUCGCCAUGUGCUCUUUGGUAACGCUGCCCUUUCCGUGCCACAUGCGGAUUGCCAGAUGAGGAAGCUUGGCCCAAAAUAAAAGCCAGGCUGCUUUUCAUCUCUGGGAUUUGUUUGUGCCAAGCGAACAAAGUGACUUCUUUGUGGCUGUUUGCAUUUGUCGUUCCAAGUUGUCUGAGCACGAGGUUAUAAAUACGCACCAGGGUUUGAUAGCCUCAAUAUGUCCAGUCGGACAAGCCUUGCGUGCUGGCAA